UGCUUAAUCUAGCCGUUCCACAACGACAGUCCCAAGCCUGUGUAAAUAGAGAGGGGGUU
rnacentral:ribozyme from 2 species